GACGAACGCUGGCGGCGUGCUUAACACAUGCAAGUCGAACGAAGUGGCGAACGGGUGAGUAACGCGGAAUCAACCUGCCCUUCAGAGGGGGACAACAGGUGGAAAAGACUGCUAAUACCGCAUACUGAAGGAGGUGAUUGAGUUGGAUUAGCUAGUUGGAGGGGUGACGGCCCACCAAGGCCAUGCUCAGUAGCCGGUCUGAGAGGGUGAACGGCCACAUUGGGACUGAGACACGGCCCAGACUCCUACGGGAGGCAGCAGUGGGGAAUCUUCCGCAAUGGACGAAAGUCUGACGGAGCAACGCCGCGUGAGUGAUGACGGCCUUCGGGUUGUAAAGCUCUGUUAAUCGGGACGCGGUACCGAAAUAGAAAGCCACGGCUAACUACGUGCCAGCAGCCGCGGUAAUAC
rnacentral:rRNA from 1 species